UACGUAGGGAGCAAGCGUUGUCCGGAAUCAUUGGGCGUAAAGCGCGCGUAGGCGGCCCCGUAAGUCCGCUGUGAAAGUCAAAGGCUCAACCUUUGAAAGCCGGUGGAUACUGUGGGGCUAGAGUCCGGAAGAGGCGAGUGGAAUUCCUGGUGUAGCGGUGGAAUGCGCAGAUAUCAGGAGGAACACCAAUAGCGAAGGCAGCUCGCUGGGACGGUACUGACGCUGAGGUGCGAAAGCGUGGGGAGCAAACAGG
rnacentral:rRNA from 1 species